GAUGAACGCUGGCGGCGUGCUUAACACAUGCAAGUCGAACGGAAAGGCGCGGCUUUUGUGGGGUGCUCGAUUGGCGAGCGGGGGAGUAACACGUGAGUAACCUGCCCUUGUCUUUGGGAUAACUUCAGGAAACUGGGGCUAAUAUCGGAUAGGAGCUCCUGCUGCAUGGGGGGGGUUGGAAAGUGUCGGCGGUUGGGGAUGGACUCGCGGGUUAUCCGCUUGUUGGUCGGGUAGUGGCUUACCAAGGCUUUGACGGGUAGCCGGCCUGAGAGGGUGACCGGCCACAUUGGGCCUGAGAUAGGGCCCAGACUCCUACGGGAGGCAGUGGUGGGGAAUAUUGCACAAUGGGCGGAAGCCUGAUGCAGAAACCCCGCGUGCGUGAUGACCGCCUUCGAGUUGAAAACCGAUUUGGACUGUGACGAAGCGUGAGUGACGGUAAUGAGUCAAGAAGCCCCGGCUAACUACGUG
rnacentral:rRNA from 1 species